rnacentral:lncRNA from 1 species
UUUGAUCAAUUUGAUUCAAUGGAAAUAAUUGUCACAAAGAAUUCCCAAGAACAAAAGAUGAUGAGAUAUGUCUGGUGACUGCUCUAUUUAUAGCCUAAAACUGACUUAAGUCCUAAGAAGUAAAUCACUAUAAUGUUCCAAAAUGAAAUCCAUGAGCUUUUAGGCCAAAAACAUAACAAAUAACAGUUGAAACCUUGGCAUGGGUCGUGCCAGUCUUGUAAGAAAAAGCAGCAAAAGGGAGCUGGGGCAUCGAGCACGGUCGUGCCACCACAGGCACGGGCCGUGCCAACUUCUCUGGAAAAUGGCCUCCUUUGAAUAACUUGGAGGCAUGGCCGGUGCCAUUGUCAGGCACGACCAUGCUUGAUAUUUUUGCACAGGAUCUUUAUAUUUUUGUCUUCAAUCAGCUCCAAAUUAUGCUCUAGAUCCUUCCAUCCUUUAAUUAUGCUCCAAAACCCUUUCUUUUGCUCCAAGACUCAAUAUUUCACCAUAUUUGUUCCUGAAAUUAAAUAACAAGCAAUUGAAGUAACAAAACUCUAUAAAGUGAAUAAAAACACAUAAAAUCUAAAUAAAAUAAAUUAAAAUAAACUCUUAAAAAUAUUAAUUAUUGACUUAUAAACAAAAUAUAAUAAACAAAUUGGAUAGACUAAAUCCAUGUUAAACCAUAUUAUAGUGACAAAAGUACUAUUAACUCUUCUUUUUAUAAUAUGGAGGAGAAGGAUUACUUCCAAAUCCCAAAUCAAGCAAAGGUUAUGGUACUAUUUCUAUUUUCUAAUGUCUUGACUCCUUCCACACGUAUACAUGGUAAUAGUAUAUGUAUAUUUUCCUUUGGAAAGUACAACACAAGGCGUGUUCUGUUUUAGUUUUUCCUUUCAUUAUUUUUC